rnacentral:rRNA from 1 species
GAUGAACGUUGGCGGCGUGCCUAAUACAUGCAAGUCGAGCGAACAGAUAAGGAGCUUGCUCCUUUGACGUUAGCGGCGGACGGGUGAGUAACACGUGGGUCACCUAUCUAUAAGACUGUGAUAACUUCGGGAAACCGGUGCUACUACCGGAUAAUAUUUCGAACCGCAUGGUUCGUUAGUGAAUGAUGGUUUUGCUAUCACUUAUAGAUGGACUCGCGCCGUAUUAGCUAGUUGGUAAGGUAACGGCUUACCAAGGCGACGAUCCGUAGCCGACCUGUGAGAGUGGUAGCCGGCCCGAGAGGGUGACCGGCGACAUUGGUCCUGCGAUAGGCGCCAGACGGCAAUCGGCGGCAGUAGGGGAGACUCUUGCGGAAUAGGCGGGCGUGUGAUGUAAAAAUGUCGGGAGCGGAAAGAUGUGUUUGUGGGUGUAAACAGACUUGUAAUGAAACGUGCCGGUCGUGACGGUACCUAGUAAAAAAGCACCGGCUAACUACGUG